AGGUACGACCAUACUAGCGUUAAUGCAUGGGAUCCCAUAAAAACUUUGGAGUUAAGCGUGCUUGGGCUAGAGUAGUACUGGGAUGGCUGACCUCCCAGGAAGUCCUAAUGUUGCACCCU
rfam:Picea glauca, whole genome shotgun sequence.